CCAGACUCCUACGGGAGGCAGCAGUGGGGAAUAUUGCACAAUGGGGGAAACCCUGAUGCAGUGACGCCGCGUGAGUGAGGAAGUAUUUCGGUAUGUAAAGCUCUAUCAGCAGGGAAGAAAAUGACGGUACCUGACUAAGAAGCCCCGGCUAACUACGUGCCAGCAGCCGCGGUAAUACGUAGGGGGCAAGCGUUAUCCGGAUUUACUGGGUGUGAAGGGAGCGUAGACGGACUUGCAAGUCUGAUGUGAAAUCCCAAGGCUCAACCCUGGAACUGCAUUUGAAACUGUUGGUCUUGAGUAUCGGAGAGGCAGGCGGAAUUCCUAGUGUAGCGGUGAAAUGCGUAGAUAUUAGGAGGAACACCAGUGGCGAAGGCGACUUUCUGGACUGUACCUGACGCUGAGGCGCGAAAGCGUGGGUAGCGAACGGGAUUAGAUACCCGUGUAU
rnacentral:rRNA from 1 species